rnacentral:lncRNA from 1 species
GCGGAGAUUGCAGUGAGCCGAGAUUGCGCCACUGCACUCCAGCCUGGGCGACAGAGCAAGACUCUAUCUAAAAAAAAUAAAUAAAUGGUUUUGAUGGUAAACUUUGUUAUGCAUAUUUUACCACAAUACAAAAACUGGAUUAACUGAUCACUGAUGUGCCCCCUGCUAUGGAGUGGUGGAGCUCAAAGAAGAGUAGCACAGCCUCUCAAACGGGAAUGGGCUCAGCUCCCUCAUAACGAAGCAGGAAGGGCUCAAACCCGGUCCUCCUCGACUUCCAGGAAUCUGAAUGACUAGGGGAGGGCUCCUCAGGCCUGUCAUGUCACUCCAGUAUCAUCCAGUGCUUACAGCAACAGCCUCUGUCCUGAAAGAGUCACAGCUGCUAUCAGUCAAUGUAGAUGCCUUUCUCACUUGAAAAUCAGUCUUCUUUGUUCUCCGUCUCCAAAUAUCCAACGCCCUUCUCACCACUGUGAAGAUUUUCCUAGAUGUUUUUCGGUCUCAACAUUCCAGAUGAGUUUGGUUGACGUUAACUUGAAGUUGGAGAAAUAGGCCAUGCUGGUACCUAGUUAGUUCAAUUUCUGUUGGAGAUCUUGAAUUGUAGGUUUUCCUCCAGAAAAAGAAGGAGGAGUUUUGAGAGGCAGCAGAAGGUGCCAUGGAUGGAGCUACUUGGGGGAGGCGAAGCUGUGCCAGGAACCUAACUCCUAAAGUUCCACACCAAUUGGCUUUGCAAUUGGCUGGUGUCAGUUUUAGGACAUCUGGAGGGAAAGGGUGACACAAAGCUUUAAGAUCAAGGUAAAUCAUGAUCUCGCUGGAGACCACUCAUGCUGGCAGGCCUCUUGCUAUGCAGCUGAUUGGCUACUGGACCGGGUGGGGUUUGGGGCACAGGAGGGGAGAGUAUGCAGAUAGGAGAGAAGCCGAGGGAAAUUGAAAAAUGUUUUGGAAAAGCUGCCAAGGAAAAUGAGAAAGGGAGGUGAUGACACUGGGUAAAGAGGAGUGCUGUGUUGUGCACUGCAGGUGGGAAUGUAAGAGGGUGCAGCCACGGCAGAAAACAGGAUGGUGGUUCUGCAGC